UUCAAAUUUUUAAUCUAGAAGUAUUUGUUGUUUGUUUUGUUUAGUGAAGAAGAAUAAAUAUAGAUCAAAACCUGUCCCACCCUAUAUAUCCGUCUCAUGAAUUUAAACAUC
rnacentral:sRNA from 1 species